rnacentral:rRNA from 1 species
ACCGGGGAGGGUCAUUGGAAACUGGGGAACUUGAGUGCAGAAGAGGAGAGUGGAAUUCCACGUGUAGCGGUGAAAUGCGUAGAGAUGUGGAGGAACACCAGUGGCGAAGGCGACUCUCUGGUCUGUAACUGACGCUGAGGAGCGAAAGCGUGGGGAGCGAACAGGAUUAGAUACCCUGGUAGUCCACGCCGUAAACGAUGAGUGCUAAGUGUUAGGGGGUUUCCGCCCCUUAGUGCUGCAGCUAACGCAUUAAGCACUCCGCCUGGGGAGUACGGUCGCAAGACUGAAACUCAAAGGAAUUGACGGGGGCCCGCACAAGCGGUGGAGCAUGUGGUUUAAUUCGAAGCAACGCGAAGAACCUUACCAGGUCUUGACAUCCUCUGACAAUCCUAGAGAUAGGACGUCCCCUUCGGGGGCAGAGUGACAGGUGGUGCAUGGUUGUCGUCAGCUCGUGUCGUGAGAUGUUGGGUUAAGUCCCGCAACGAGCGCAACCCUUGAUCUUAGUUGCCAGCAUUCAGUUGGGCACUCUAAGGUGACUGCCGGUGACAAACCGGAGGAAGGUGGGGAUGACGUCAAAUCAUCAUGCCCCUUAUGACCUGGGCUACACACGUGCUACAAUGGACAGAACAAAGGGCAGCGAAACCGCGAGGUUAAGCCAAUCCCANCAAUCUGUUCUCAGUUCGGAUCGCAGUCUGCAACUCGACUGCGUGAAGCUGGAAUCGCUAGUAAUCGCGGAU